CCAACAAUGCUUUUCUUAUGUCAUUACUGCAUCAUAAGUCUUAAUAUAUAAAAUCAUUUAAAAUCUAUAUAAACCUAUGCCAUCCAAAACCUCUGCCUAUAUCUAUCCUUUAAAGCCAGCAGAGGUUGAAGGUCCUUUGGGAUACGUAUAUCUCAGCAGAUGUUUUGAAAUUGCCGUUAUGACUAAAUGAUGAUUGUGAAUGAUUU
rnacentral:lncRNA from 1 species